GGUUAAGCGACUAAGCGUACACGGUGGAUGCCCUGGCAGUCAGAGGCGAUGAAGGACGUGCUAAUCUGCGAUAAGCGUCGGUAAGGUGAUAUGAACCGUUAUAACCGGCGAUUUCCGAAUGGGGAAACCCAGUGUGAUUCGUCACACUAUCAUUAACUGAAUCCAUAGGUUAAUGAGGCGAACCGGGGGAACUGAAACAUCUAAGUACCCCGAGGAAAAGAAAUCAACCGAGAUUCCCCCAGUAGCGGCGAGCGAACGGGGAGCAGCCCAGAGCCUGAAUCAGUGUGUGUGUUAGUGGAAGCGUCUGGAAAGGCGCGCGAUACAGGGUGACAGCCCCGUACACAAAAAUGCACAUACUGUGAGCUCGAUGAGUAGGGCGGGACACGUGGUAUCCUGUCUGAAUAUGGGGGGACCAUCCUCCAAGGCUAAAUACUCCUGACUGACCGAUAGUGAACCAGUACCGUGAGGGAAAGGCGAAAAGAACCCCGGCGAGGGGAGUGAAAAAGAACCUGAAACCGUGUACGUACAAGCAGUGGGAGCCUCUUUAUGGGGUGACUGCGUACCUUUUGUAUAAUGGGUCAGCGACUUAUAUUCUGUAGCAAGGUUAACCGAAUAGGGGAGCCGAAGGGAAACCGAGUCUUAACUGGGCGUUAAGUUGCAGGGUAUAGACCCGAAACCCGGUGAUCUAGCCAUGGGCAGGUUGAAGGUUGGGUAACACUAACUGGAGGACCGAACCGACUAAUGUUGAAAAAUUAGCGGAUGACUUGUGGCUGGGGGUGAAAGGCCAAUCAAACCGGGAGAUAGCUGGUUCUCCCCGAAAGCUAUUUAGGUAGCGCCUCGUGAAUUCAUCUCCGGGGGUAGAGCACUGUUUCGGCAAGGGGGUCAUCCCGACUUACCAACCCGAUGCAAACUGCGAAUACCGGAGAAUGUUAUCACGGGAGACACACGGCGGGUGCUAACGUCCGUCGUGAAGAGGGAAACAACCCAGACCGCCAGCUAAGGUCCCAAAGUCAUGGUUAAGUGGGAAACGAUGUGGGAAGGCCCAGACAGCCAGGAUGUUGGCUUAGAAGCAGCCAUCAUUUAAAGAAAGCGUAAUAGCUCACUGGUCGAGUCGGCCUGCGCGGAAGAUGUAACGGGGCUAAACCAUGCACCGAAGCUGCGGCAGCGACACUAUGUGUUGUUGGGUAGGGGAGCGUUCUGUAAGCCUGCGAAGGUGUACUGUGAGGUAUGCUGGAGGUAUCAGAAGUGCGAAUGCUGACAUAAGUAACGAUAAAGCGGGUGAAAAGCCCGCUCGCCGGAAGACCAAGGGUUCCUGUCCAACGUUAAUCGGGGCAGGGUGAGUCGACCCCUAAGGCGAGGCCGAAAGGCGUAGUCGAUGGGAAACAGGUUAAUAUUCCUGUACUUGGUGUUACUGCGAAGGGGGGACGGAGAAGGCUAUGUUGGCCGGGCGACGGUUGUCCCGGUUUAAGCGUGUAGGCUGGUUUUCCAGGCAAAUCCGGAAAAUCAAGGCUGAGGCGUGAUGACGAGGCACUACGGUGCUGAAGCAACAAAUGCCCUGCUUCCAGGAAAAGCCUCUAAGCAUCAGGUAACAUCAAAUCGUACCCCAAACCGACACAGGUGGUCAGGUAGAGAAUACCAAGGCGCUUGAGAGAACUCGGGUGAAGGAACUAGGCAAAAUGGUGCCGUAACUUCGGGAGAAGGCACGCUGAUAUGUAGGUGAAGCGACUUGCUCGUGGAGCUGAAAUCAGUCGAAGAUACCAGCUGGCUGCAACUGUUUAUUAAAAACACAGCACUGUGCAAACACGAAAGUGGACGUAUACGGUGUGACGCCUGCCCGGUGCCGGAAGGUUAAUUGAUGGGGUUAGCGGUAACGCGAAGCUCUUGAUCGAAGCCCCGGUAAACGGCGGCCGUAACUAUAACGGUCCUAAGGUAGCGAAAUUCCUUGUCGGGUAAGUUCCGACCUGCACGAAUGGCGUAAUGAUGGCCAGGCUGUCUCCACCCGAGACUCAGUGAAAUUGAACUCGCUGUGAAGAUGCAGUGUACCCGCGGCAAGACGGAAAGACCCCGUGAACCUUUACUAUAGCUUGACACUGAACAUUGAGCCUUGAUGUGUAGGAUAGGUGGGAGGCUUUGAAGUGUGGACGCCAGUCUGCAUGGAGCCGACCUUGAAAUACCACCCUUUAAUGUUUGAUGUUCUAACGUUGGCCCCUGAUCGGGGUUGCGGACAGUGUCUGGUGGGUAGUUUGACUGGGGCGGUCUCCUCCUAAAGAGUAACGGAGGAGCACGAAGGUUGGCUAAUCCUGGUCGGACAUCAGGAGGUUAGUGCAAUGGCAUAAGCCAGCUUGACUGCGAGCGUGACGGCGCGAGCAGGUGCGAAAGCAGGUCAUAGUGAUCCGGUGGUUCUGAAUGGAAGGGCCAUCGCUCAACGGAUAAAAGGUACUCCGGGGAUAACAGGCUGAUACCGCCCAAGAGUUCAUAUCGACGGCGGUGUUUGGCACCUCGAUGUCGGCUCAUCACAUCCUGGGGCUGAAGUAGGUCCCAAGGGUAUGGCUGUUCGCCAUUUAAAGUGGUACGCGAGCUGGGUUUAGAACGUCGUGAGACAGUUCGGUCCCUAUCUGCCGUGGGCGCUGGAGAACUGAGGGGGGCUGCUCCUAGUACGAGAGGACCGGAGUGGACGCAUCACUGGUGUUCGGGUUGUCAUGCCAAUGGCACUGCCCGGUAGCUAAAUGCGGAAGAGAUAAGUGCUGAAAGCAUCUAAGCACGAAACUUGCCCCGAGAUGAGUUCUCCCUGACUCCUUGAGAGUCCUGAAGGAACGUUGAAGACGACGACGUUGAUAGGCCGGGUGUGUAAGCGCAGCGAUGCGUUGAGCUAACCGGUACUAAUGAACCGUGAGGCUUAACCUU
rnacentral:rRNA from 2 species